CCGCCACCCUGUCUGGGAGGAAGAUCACUUCUCUAGCAGUAUGAAGGAUGGACCGGAAGGGGAAAGAUUGAAGGCAGAGACCAGUGUAGUCAUUAUUACUGUAGCUGAAGUGGAAAAUGAUGAAGGCAUUUUAAAGAGAAUUUAAUUUGCCUCUACCUUAGCACUCUGCUGCUGCAACUGGAGACUGGAGAAAAAGACUGGUGUGUUGCAGCUACAUCAAGCCAUGUUGGGACUGCCAACCUUCCCAAAAUGAAAUGCAGAACUUGAGAGCAGCUGUUUGCCUAAAACCUGAUAGAUAAUUCAAGGUGAUACUAUUUUCUGAGGUGGUCCUAAAAAGGAGGAAAAAAAAAGAAGAAGAGUAGAACAGUUGAAUAAGAAGUGUGAAGUGGCUGAUGGGUACAGACUAUGUUCUUAAGCUCUCUUGCCUUCUGGCUUUCAGAUGGAUUCAGUCAACAGCAAAGACUAGCAAGACAACACCCUAACCCCACCCCACCCCCAGGAAUGUGAUGAUCUGGUUAUAUCCCUGGACCUAGAGGCACAGCCCUAUCAGGAAGCUCUCUCUGUCUCCCUCUCCCUUCUCUUCUCCUUCCCUCUUCUACCACCCCUCUUGAGGCUCAUAGUUUUAGGCCUACAGGUGUUGAUGUGGUUUGGCUGUGUCCCCACCCAAAUAUCAUCUUGAAUUGUAACUCCUACAACUCCCACUUGUCAUGGGAGGGACCCAGUGGGAGGUAAUUGAAUCAUGGGGUUGGGUCUUUCUUGUGCUGUUCUCGCUAUAGUGAAUAAACCUCAUGAGACCUGAUGGUUUUAAAAAGAGGAGUUCCUCUGCACAAGCUCUCUCUCUUUGCCUGCUGCCAUCCAUGUAAGACAUAACUUGCUCCUCCUUGCCUUCUGUCAUAAUUGUGAGGCCUUCUCAGUCAUGUGGAACUUUAAGUCAAUUAAACCUCUUUUUCUUCCCAGUCUCAGGUAUGUCUUUAUCAGCAGCGUGAAAAUGGACUAAUACAGGUUUUAACCAUUUAGGUACCAUAACUAAUCUUAGUGUACUUCCUACACUGGUGUAAAUUGUCCCAUAUUAAAUGUUAUUAAAUGUCCCAGCUGAGUGUGUCUUCUCUCUCUUCCUGGGUUUCUGAUAGAUCCACUCUAUCAGACCCACUCUGGCCACCAGCCGUCUUUUCCAUUGACUAGAGGGAUGUUACUUGAAGGAUCAGUUUUUAGUGGCACCAGAUUUAUGUGGCAAUAAAAUUUGAAAAUAAAUAGGUUUGGGGUCCUACUGACUUGGAUUAAAAUUCUGGCUCUCCAGAAAAUACUAGCCUUGUGGCUUUGAACAAGAUACUUAGCUCCUCUAAGCAUUAACUUGCUCAUCUAUAAUAUGAGUAAAACUACUUUCCCCAUAGGAGCAUUUUAAGAUUAAAUAAAAUAUCAUGUAAAAGGAUCUAGUAUAAUGAUUCUCAACAAUGAGAGUAUAUCAAGGUAUAUCAGUGGUAUUUUUUGAAUGUGCAUAUGUCAUAUACAUCCCUAGAGGUUUUCAGUUCAGUGUGAAGGGCUGGUAUGUAUGUGUUUAUAUGAAGCCGGGAGUGGUGGAGGAGAUGCAGCAUCUCUUUAGUUACCUUUAUGGCUGAAUGUGAUCCUAAGCAAGCAUGAAAUUCAACACCCUAAUACAACAUAGUAUAUAAAUAAAUGUUGUUUUUUUUACCCUUUCUGUCAAUAUUUUGCUAUACUUUAACCAAAAGCCCCCAUCAAAGGAAUCUAUGAUUUUCAUUCCCAAUAAUGACUAAAGGAUUAAACUGCAAAUAUCUAAGCAAAGCAACUUACAUUAAGGAUAAAUAAGUGAUGAAAAAAAUAAUUUCCUGUUUAUUGGCAGGGCAACAGAGAAUUAGAUAGAGUUACUCAGGCAGAGAAGCAAUAAUAUCAAAGUGAAAGACAAUUCAGAAAGAGAGUACUAGAUACUACCAAAGUAAAUGCCUUAUUCUAUUUGUUUCUAUUCACUGGGAGGAAGAAAAAAAUGCUUAAUGACAAUAGAAUGUAACAUUUGUGUCUUGAAAACUAACUGGUCUUGCAGUGCAAGAUAGAAGAUUAAGGAAGCCCUCUUUGAAGAAGAGAUCAAUGAAUUCAGCUGAGAAUUUUGUACCCACCAUGUGCCAGACAUAGUGCUAGGUUCUGGAGGAGACACAACUAUGGAUAAGAUGAGCUUUCUGCCUGAUGAAGUUCAUAGGCUUUCUCCAACUCCAAGUGGGUGAGGACAAAAAGAUGCAGAGAAAAGAUUUUACAUGUGUGUAGAAUGAUCCCUAUAAUUUUCUGGGAAGAUGAACUAAGAUGCACUCCAUACCAAAUGGGUCUAACUGAAUUUCCUACACUAGCUUUUUUUUUUCUUUCACUUUUUACUUUCAAAUUUUCUUUGCCACCUUCGAAAAAGUCAUCUAUAUCCCUCUCUUCUCCUCCCUCUUGUCUUUCCAAUGACAAAUAAUAUGGGCCAGGGCAUGGUCGGAAAUAGAGUCUAUUAAAGAAUAGUAUUUUAUAAUUAUACAGUGUUUGAAAUGCUUGGGAUAUUUUAGAAUAUCUCUUUCUAUAGACUUCAAGAACUAUGAAGAAAAGGGGAACCUGAAU
rnacentral:lncRNA from 1 species